AUGCCGCCUGGAACCUAUUUCAAUAUUGCCAAUUUUCCUGCAGCAUGUUAUUUUUUUGCUGUUAGAUUAUUAGUAUACCAUGAACUUGACAUGUUGAUCAUUUUUUACUUGCUUUCCUUUUGUAUGUUCACGGCGAGUCAAUGUUUGUAUUAUGAAUCCCAUCUCCAGCAUGUGUACCAAGUUAAACUACGAACAUUUUCAGGCAUCUCAAAACAUGGACAUGUUGUCCCUUCCAGGUUCCAUCACAAUUCACAAGUAGUGAGAGGAUUGUUAUUAUCCUUUGGAAUACUACUUUAUAGUCGAACUAUCCUAGAUAAUCAUCACCAGUUAGUGUAG
rnacentral:rRNA from 1 species